CAGAAUUGGCUUCAUCACAAAUUGUGAAAUAAAAUAAAAUAAAAUAAAUCCACCUGCUGAAAAUUAAGAAGCGGUAAGAGACCGAGUUCAUGGAGUUCAUGGUUCUGACUAUUUAGGUACAGUAAAUCUAAAUAUCCGGUGUAAUGCCUCACAGCUCUGCUUCUCCAUCUACUGGUGGUCUAAUGGAGGAAUCCUGAGAGUAAUCACAAAUACUAGAGAAAUGAAAGAACACU